CGGGAUGUAGCGCAGUUAGGUAGCGCGUACGGUUCGGGACCGUAAGGUCGCUGGUUCGAAUCCAGUCAUCCCGACCA
rnacentral:tRNA from 1 species